GCCGGGUGUGGAACAGGUUACAUGGAAUAUAUUUAAGCGGAAGUGAUCCUUUAUAUUUAUUAUUUAUUAUACAUCGAAUUUGAACCACCAUCUAUCCAUACUUCUCCAUUUCAAAGAUACUUUCUGGUGUAUUCGGGGAGUUCCGACAGCGGCAUCAAGCAAACACUUCCAGGCAGUUAGAAGAAGAGGCGUCCUCAUCACGAGAGUCCUGUCCUCAGGUGGUGAAAUCGAAGAAGGCAUGAAAUGGGUUCAGUGAGGAGGAAAUUCAAAGCCUUUGGAUGCUGUCUCCAUGGUACCAGACAAAGAAUCAUCAUUGUUUAUAAUCCACUCAUUUCUUUCUUUCCCUGUCAAACUUCUUUUUGAUUUACUGUAUAUACCACAAAGGAAGUGUAUCGUAACAAAAAUACUUAUAUGAUUUCGGAUUUUAUGAUUUGUAAUCUAUUAUAUAGUAGUAUGAGAAAUAUUUUCCACAUGUGACAUUAUGCAGCAAUUAUAUAAUCAUCAGUCAUCAGCAUUUUAAUUUUGCUAACUAUAUAUUAUAGAAACUUUGCAAUCUUCGUCAUUUUGCAAUAUGUUUUCCAAUGUGUUCUCUUCUCCCUCUAUAUUCUGUAUUUACAGUAGGUACGUAGGUGUGUGUUUGUGCUAGUCUGGCGUGAGUUGUCUGUUAAAUCAGGCUAAAAGCCAUUAAA